UAGCUUUGUCCCAUGCUUUGCCUGCCCAUUGUGCAUAGCUCCAACAGUGAAGUUUGGUGGAGUACACAACACUCUCUCUCUCUAUGUAUAGGAGAGUUGUUCUGAGCCUAUGGCUGACUCUUAAAGGCAUGAGAGGACAGU
rnacentral:snoRNA from 10 species